CCGGCUGACGGCGCCACUGACACUCACAUCGGACGCUAGUGAUACUAACAGUGAUACCACGGGACAGUGUUGACGUCUGACGGUUUACAUUCGCGCGUUAACUUUUUGGACGCCAAUGACCGAUAUAUCCGCACCGCAGGCCCAACGCCAAAGACUGAUUAAUCGGUCACUGACCACAGAGCAACAUAGACCUACGUGCAUAUGCAUAAAGUCCGAGUGACAGCUUUUGUGUUUGACACGGCGUCGAAAAGGUUAAAUACGGCAGCGGGUAAUUCCUAUUUUUUUUUGCUGGGGCAUGUUUCACGAACGAGAUUAGACUUAUUAGUGUUUUGUCAAUCCAUACGAUUCGACUAUUCGUGUGUUUAUCUAAUACCAUUCGGAAAAUUGACCUCAGUUGGUCACAUGGAGUUCAAAUUCCGGCAAAAAGCAUCUAUUGGCAAACAUUUCUAUGAUGGUUGUUUAUGGUGUAAAUAAAAUAUUCGUCACUUCUACUUGUAUGCUUUAGUUUGUGAUUCUAAUUGAUUAUUAGUCGAUAUUAUCAACAUUUCUUGUAUGGAAUUCUGAUUUAGUAAGCAAGGCUGAUAGUGAUGGAUACGUUAUUUAUAAAAGACCACCAUACUCAAACUCAUGUUGUGUAUUAUACUUUUAGGCUUUUUUGUACAUUACCACAUGGUAGUACCAGUAUCUACACACAAGUUUGAAAUUGGAAUAGCUAUCUCGUUAUAAUUUAGAACAGUGGCAUUAAAUUAGAUAACAUGAGCUUGCUAUUGCUGUUUUGGACUUCAGACUAAGAUACAAUUCUCAGUGUCAUUGAAAACUAUCUCUUACGUGCAUUUUAGUAAAAUCCAUCACAAUCAAAGUAGAUUUCAAUGAAACUGAGAAUUCAUUCAUUCAACUCGCAACCCGCUUUGUUAUGUCAUGUGACAUAUUUUUUUUUCUACAUUUUUUCUUAGAAGUUUACACCACAGCCAAAUUGUGUUAUGUUGCGGCCAGACAAGCAGGGAUUCAGCGAAUAUUCGUGAACAUAGAAAUAUAUAUCUAUGUUCGUGAAGGCGUCUCUUCAAUUUUCCUUGGAUAGCGAGAGACGCCAUAACAUAUUCGCCGAAGCCCUAUAUCUGUGGCCGCACCCUUAAAGAUGUACGCGCACAACAUAUCAAAGGCGUCCUGGUAUAAACGCUGCGAGUACGUUAGAUGUAAAUCAAACAAAGACUUGAUUUAAGCCUAUUCGGUAAUUCGAAGUGAUACGAUUUCUAAAUAAAUAAUAGAAGUAUUGUUUUAGAGGUUGUCAAGAUAGGAAUAGUGAAUGAUGUGGUUUUUGUAGCAGCUGUUUGAAAUUGGAGCGAAAAUUUAAUUAAGCUUUAGUGUGACUUAUAGGUAUAUAAAAAAAUAUAUCAUCACAUUUACCGGUAAAGCUAGCUAUUCCACGCUGGCGUUCAAGGAGUGAUAUAUAAUUUUACUCCAAUUCCAGUCAUUUGGAUCUUAUUCGAAGCAAGCAUCACAUCAAAUUAUCCACAAUUUUUGACGACUGCUAGAAAAACGCACUGGGAUUCUUGUGUUUUAAUGGGUGACUUAAAAAUAUGUAAUUAAUUAUUGGAGAGUUUGAUUUUUCCAAUUAUUUUAAUCUAUCUUUUGCAAUAUCAGUGCCAACAUAUAGUUUCUAUAUGAACCAGCACAUAUUUCAUUGCACAAUCAAAUAACUAUAUUUAGAGUUGAACGAUAUUAAUUUUAUUGCGUACUGUUGGAUUGGUAUUCUAUUAUAUUUUAUUGUUGGUUUUAUGUUUGACAACGAUGGCCUUUAAUGUCGAAGGUUUUCGAUAAAUUAUUGAAUAAACCUUUGCAUAAAGAUAAAGGUAACGAUAUAUAUUAAUAGUAUGUUGCUGCUUCAUAGCAUAACCAAGUUUCAAUGCCUCCAUGUCUUAUAAAGUAAUUACCUACUGCAAACUUAGUUGCCCAUAUUUAUUAUAAAUAGUUAUAGUUCGUUUUUUUAGCAUUAGAAAUAAGGUAAACAAUCUUGAUGUGUCUUUUAAUUGAAAAACACAUUUAAAAAAUAAGUUACGGCAAAUAUGUAACAAUUAUGAAUCUAAUCCGAACUUUUAUAUUCUUUUGCUUUCAUAAGUAAUAGUUUUUGAUUUUUAAAAAGCGUUAUUCAAUUAAAAGACAUGUCAAGAUCGCUUACCUUCUUGCAAGUUCUUUCUAAUGCUAAAAAACGAACUAUAGAGCAAGCUAGUGAUAAUACGAGGAAGCUCGCUUGAUUUGCGACUGAGUUCGUAAAGGGCCGAAGAGUAUGAGUGAGCUAAAGGACUAGCGAACCGUUAACGCUAACUUGUUCAACUUUAUAUGCCUCGGAACGUCAUUCAAACAUGUUAUAAAAUUAAUAAGAAAUAAUACUUUAUUGAGAAGCAUUGAAACACUGGUUAUCUACUGAAACGGCACACUCAACACUUGUAUUCAAAUAUGGAUCUCUAAACUUCUUAUAAUGAUAGGAUUCCUCGAACAAUUGUUCGUAUACUUUCCUUAUAUAUUGUUCCAGCAAUACUUACUUUUUGUAAAUAUUAAAUGAUUAUUUAUUUCGCACUCCUGAAAAGGAAUAAUUAUUUUAGGUUCAUGACAAUUGUAAGAGCUUAGGUUGUAUUUUUCUUAGUUCUAGUCGCUUUUUAGGUUUAAGCUAUUAUUAAUAGGUACCUAUGUUUGACUGACCGAUUAUAUAACAUUUAUUGAUCAUUUCUUGAACUUUUAGAGGCUACACAAUAAAUUUACGCUUUUCGUUUUCAUUGAACACUAACUAAAUGUGACGUCCCACGGGUAAAGGUACCUUAUGGCGGUUAGCGCUUGCGCUAUUAUUAACGCCGCUCCAAUAUUAUUGCGAUGCUAUGCGACGUAAGCGCCAGCCGCCAUAAGGUACCUUUUCCCGUGGAACGUCACAAAUAUUUCCGAAAUUUUGUAGAAUAAUGCUUGAAAAGUUACAAUAAAGCUGGUGCAAAUUAUACACAUUUUUGACACUCUACGUAAUGAUUAGUUUUGUACGUUAUGAUAUGAUAUUAUCGUAAUAGUUAAUUAAAUUAGAUCAGAUUUUUCAGUAUAAAAGAAGUUUGAGAACAACAAUGAAAAUAAUAUCAGUAUGUUAGUUUGUAAGGUCCGACUGUGGUCACAGCGUAAGGUCGGAGGGCCGCCUAUAGGUUUAGCAUAGAGAGGUAACUACACAUUACACUAUACUUGUCAAACUAGCAGAUUAUUCAUUUCAAAUUUCUAACCAACUACUUUUUAGAUACCCAACUCCUUGUCAGUUAAUGGUUAUGUUAAUACAUUUCAUUUCAUUAUAUAUGUCGGCGGCCGAUCGUAAGAUCAGGCAGAUCGUAAUGUUCCUGUGUAUUGUUUUGAGAUUAGUCACAUUAAACCAAUAUAUAGGUAAGAUAGAUUCGUUAGGUUGCUUCAGAUGCCCGAAGGGCAAACUGCCCAGAAAUAGAGCGGGGCUCGGUCGACUCAGGGAACGAGUCAAAGAUUUUCACGUUUACGAUAUGCCUAGGACUUUCACGAUAUGCCUGAUCUUACGAUCGGCCGCCGACAUAUACAUGAUAAUUGAUAACACGGUCAGUUUAUUAAUACAAUACACAAUUUAGCAUUUACGAAGUCAGACUGUACUCCAUUGUUUCGAGUAUUCUUCUAUACUCUUGAUAUUACUCAUAUUAUUUUUGAAAACAACUAGAAAAGUGCCAAUAGAGUCUGUUGCUUUGACAAGUAUAUUCCGCGGACUGUACAUAGGUAGCCUAAGUCGUUAUCGAGUAACAUAUGUACUUGAAACCAUAGGCUCAUAGUUAAAAUACGGAGCUAGUAUAUAAGCAUUGUGUGCCUCUGUGUAUAGAGAAUAUAGUGAUAAACAAGAAUCGUUAAUAAAAUUAUAUAUACGGAAACAAAAUACAAUUAUUAUUCACAGAUUAGAAUUAUUGGUUGAAUAAAAUGGUGAAUAAUGAUUAUAUUGCAAAGUCUACAUAAAUCUAGUUUUGUAAGAUGCCUUUAUGCGAGAGUUUUUAAAUCAAUUUGAAAGAUAGGAGCCAUCAGCCAGCUCGCAUGCAGGCCGUCGUUGGUUGAAGCGUGAUAUUAAACCAAUGGCUAGGUAAGAGUAGCGCCGCACGGCGACGAGCAACAUGUAUCAUUGGUUACCAUAAGCACUCAUAGUAUUUGAAAUAAAUAUUUACAAUGAA